GUGCAGCAGUCGAGAAUUUUUUGCAAUGCACGCAAGUGUGACAAAGUGAACCAGAGUGCUUUUCAUAUUGAAAGGCUUUUGUGAAAUGUAAAAAGUUUCACGAAUAAGGAUUGGGUAAGACUAGUGCCAGCCGCCGCGGUAAUACUAGCGAUCCAAGUCGCAGCCAUUUUUAUUGGGUCUAAAACAUCCGUAGCUUGCUUGAUAAGUUUCUUGUGAAAUCUUAUCUCUUAAAGAUAGGACGUGCAAGAAGUACUGUCAAGCUAGAGACUGGAGGACGUAGGAAGUACGGUCAAAGUAGCGGUAAAAUGUGUUAAUCUUGAUCGGACUCACAAGAGCGAAGGCAUCCUACGAGGACAGUUCUGACAGUAAGGGAUGAAGGCUAGGGGCGCAAAACGGAUUAGAUACCCGCGUAGUCC
rnacentral:rRNA from 1 species